rnacentral:rRNA from 1 species
UACGUAGGGUGCGAGCGUUAAUCGGAAUUACUGGGCGUAAAGCGUGCGUAGGUGGUUCGUUGUGUCUGUGGUGAAAGCCCCGGGCUUAACCUGGGAAUGGCCAUGGAAACUGGCGAGCUGGAGUCUGGCAGAGGUGAGUGGAACUGCGAGUGUAGAGGUGAAAUUCGUAGAUAUUCGCAAGAACACCAGUGGCGAAGGCGGCUCACUGGCCCGAUACUGACGCUGAGGCACGAAAGCGUGGGGAGCAAACAGGG